rnacentral:lncRNA from 1 species
CCUGGAUCAUGAAGACAGAUGCCUAUGAGUACUAUUUUUCUACUUUUGAAAGAAGAAACAGCUUCUGGACCAAGACUUCUCUGGGUUCGGGGAAAAGAGAAGAGGCGAGAAGAGGAGACAAGCUGAGAAGAGAGGAGAGAACAGGAGAGGGACAGAAUGACGUUGUGUGUUGAAGUACAAUUGUGUUUUGGCUCCAAUGGCCUUGAAAAAGUUUUUUUCAGUUUUGUUACAAACCCAUCAUGCCAUCUGCAGGGAACUGGUUAAAUGGACUUGGCACAUCCACACAAAGGAGUAUUUUGCAACCUUAGAAAGAGAGGAAUGUUUACAACUACUUAUAGAAGGUGAUUUCCAGAACGAAUUAUUAAUUAUAAAAAGUACAGCAAAUGGCAGUGCUUUUUACAGUAAUUAAAUUCAAUUUCCCUCUGAAGGUCAACUUUUGCCACUGCUAUUCUUGAAUUCUAUAAUCCCCUUUAAUAUCAUGGAGCUCAAUUCCCUGGAAAAUAUCCCUCUAUGCUUGCCUCGUGUAGGUUAUGAGAAUGCCUAGCAAGAUGCAUAUGUAACAGAGAAGUACGAAACCACCUUAUUGAAAUUUCUAUGGUUCCAAUAGUCAGGAAUAGUGGUUCUCAAACUUCUUCAUAUGAGGAAGCAUUUAUACACUCUUAAAAUUGUUGAGUAUCCAAAAGAACUUUGUUCAUGUGGGUUACAUCCAUUAAUAUUUACCAUAUGGUAAAUUAAAAUUGAGAAAAUAAAAAGCUGUGUUUUCAUUUGUUUAAAAAUAGUAAACAUCAUAUGUUAAAAUAAAUAUUUUUUAUAAAGUGGCUAUAUGUUUUAAAAACUUUAGUUGGAAGAUUGAUAUUUGUUUUACUUUUUAUAACCUCUUAAUGUCUCCCUUUGUAGUACACAUAUAGGUUCUCAUAUCUGCUUCUACAUUCAAUGUGAUGCAUUAUGUUGUUUUGAUUGAGGUACAUGAAUAACUUCUAGCUCACCCAGAUAGGUAUUUUGGAAAAGAUAAAUAUUGUACCAGCCUUUUCAGAUAUUCUUCGUAGAAAUAUAAUCUCAUAUUCAUCAGAAUAGUCUUUAAAUAGUAACAAGCUUUCCAGUAUCCUAACUUUUGCUUGAAAGCUCACAGUAUGUGAUUAGAAAUAAAUACUAUACAUUGUUUUCUUUAAAGGUACUUGCUCCCUUCAUCGUUUUGCGGAAAAAUAUUGGAGAACUAUGAAAACUUGUCUAAAUAACUAUAGUUUACUUGCAACUCAGUUUAAAAUAUUGUUCUAUGAAAGAGUAGCAGUUAGUUUGUAAUUUAAAUAAUCGCACAAGUGAUUUCCCACUAGACAACCAUACUUCAAAAUGUAGCAGAAGUUCUUCAUGUAUAUUUCCAACUUCUUCACACCAAGUAUUGAAAAUAUAUGCAAGGAAGUAUUAAAAUUUAAUAAAAUUAAUAAUCUUUACUGCUUUAAAAACAGCAUUCUAAAGUGAGUUUGGAUUUUUUUUCCCUACAAAUGCAUAGUGUUGAAAAAUACAUUGUACUGCUAAAUUUUGAUCUCACAGUAUUGAUUCAUGCUAAGGCAUCGGCAGUUUUACCCACUGUCACUCUGCCUCAUUAGUAUAACUGUCAAACAGUUAAAGAGGCAAAUACCUUCAUAGUAAUAUUAAGUAAUUAUUUUCACCUCAGGACACUCUAAAAGAAUCUCAAGGAUCCCCAAGAAUCCAUAGGCAACUUCUUGAGAACUGAUAGUUUAGUGUAUGCUAGGAUAGGCUUGAAAGAUAAAGAAUAAAUUACUGCACCCACUAAUGGUGCAGUGGUAAUCAUACCAUAUCAUUAAAAAUGAGGUACAGUGCUUGGUAGAUACCUUUGGAUUUUGGAGGUAUCCACUUAGGAAUACUGCUGUCAUUCAUAUGUUGGGUAACUUAAAAGGCUGAGAGAUUUCAGUGGGACUCAGAACAAUAUAGGGCUUUGCAGGAGAUCCAGGCUGUGAUGCAAGCUUCUGUGAUACAUAGGCCAUGUGACCUGGCAAAUUUAAUGGGACUAGAGGGACUCAUAGUAAACCAGAUCUCUGUAUGGUUUAUCUGUCAAAUCCCAGUAGGAGAG